rnacentral:rRNA from 1 species
GAGCAUGCGGAUUAAUUCGAUGCAACGCGAAGAACCUUACCAAGGCUUGACAUGCACCUGAAAUUGCUGGCAACAGUCUCCUCGCAAGACAGGUGCACAGGUGGUGCAUGGUUGUCGUCAGCUCGUGUCGUGAGAUGUUGGGUUAGGUCCCGCAACGAGACCAACCCUCGUUCUAUGUUGCCAGCGCGUUAUGGCGGGAACUCAUAGGAGACUGCAGGGGUCAACUCGGUUAAAGG